ACGUAAUUAGUCAUCAACGCGUAAUUAGAUAUAUUAAUACACUUGAUAAAAAUUUUAAACGUAAUAUCGAUUUUCGGGUAGUCCGCUUGAUUCAGGUCUCAUAACGCGCCGAAUGCUCUUCAAAUAAACUUUCAUCUUUCUAAGCUUACAACAAAGCUUCAAUUGCACAUUAUAUAAGUAAAUGUCACAUACAGUCUUAUAUGAAAGUUUGAUAAAAUUUUCGGAAUUUAUACAAGUGACCUCGAUUAGUAUUAUUAUUAUCUUGAAGCUUACUCGAAGAAAUUUCGUUAUGUAUUCAAUUCACUGAAGCAAGCAAUUUAUUUAUUGUUUUAUCAUGUAAUUCGAGGUGGUGUCGUGGCGAAGAUCUGACGUUUUUAUUGCAUCAGCGUUCGAGUUUGAUUUGCGAGGCUGCAAAGUGCAAACAAUACCAAACAUCAAAAUUGUAGUGUUUUCAGACCAAAUUUUAAAGAAGAGAUCGAUGUUGAAUCAGUGAUUACAAUUCAAUUUCAAACUACAACAGGCUGCUGGAGGUCGGCCACUGGAAACGACUCCAGUUAUACGAAUAUUAGUAAGUACAGAUCUGAGUUUAG